rnacentral:rRNA from 1 species
GACAAUGUGGUGUUCGGGUGUGUACCUGGGAGUGCUUGCCUACUCGAAGUCCAACUCCGAUUAUGGCUAGGACCAGGCCCAGAGCGGGUGUAAGGCCCGUGCGGGUAGGUUAGUGAUGUUUGAAGCACUCCUCAGAUGUACAUGCUCUCGAGUCGGAUUGCUUGAGAAUGCAGUCCAAAGUGGGUGGUAAACUCCAUCCAAGGCUAAAUACUGGCACGAGUCCGAUAGUAGACAAGUACCGUGAGGGAAAGUUGAAAAGUACUCUGAAGAGAGAGUAAAUAGCACGUGAAGCCGCUUGCAGGGAAGCUGGUGGAGUCAAGCUUCUUGUUCAGAGGAUUGUCAUCAUGGACCAUUGCUGUUGUUUGGAGCGUGAUAGUGGUGAGCCUGGAAAGGGUUUGGCGUGCUUCGGUGCGUUUCAAGUCAUUCCGGGAUGGAUGUUUGUGCCGCUAUCUAUCCUCCUGGUCCUGGUGCUUUAUUCUCUGUGA